rnacentral:rRNA from 1 species
AGCGAACGCUGGCGGCAUGCCUAAUACAUGCAAGUCGAACGAGACCUUCGGGUCUAGUGGCGCACGGGUGCGUAACGCGUGGGAAUCUGCCCUUGGGUUCGGAAUAACGUCGGGAAACUGACGCUAAUACCGGAUGAUGACGAAAGUCCAAAGAUUUAUCGCCCAGGGAUGAGCCCGCGUAGGAUUAGCUAGUUGGUGAG